UGGCCUAACCUAAAAGCAAUAUGAGU
rnacentral:piRNA from 1 species